UGGCAAGUCGUGACAACGGACACCACUCCACUCUCUGUAACAAACUCCACGUGGCCCCGAACGGCCCACUGACACCACUACACUCCGUAACAAACUCCGCGUGGCCCCGAACGGCCCACUACCAGGCAGUUGCGGACGUCGCUGUCAAUUAGUUACGCUCUCCCAUCUAUAAAAGAGACCUCCAGAUACAUUUUUCUCUAAGCGAAAAAAUUAUAUCUUGAAACUCUGCUAAAAUCCCAUUUGAGUGCUCCAUUUCUGUUGAGGCAGAGUACUGACUUGAGCGUCGGAGGGUCUUGUCG
rnacentral:lncRNA from 1 species